UAGAGGAAAAGAAAUCGAAGAGAUUCCCUGAGUAGUGGCGAGCGAAAAGGGAAAAGUCUAAAUCAUAAACAUGUUGUUAUCACAAGAGGUUGAUCGCAAGAUUAAUUUUGAAUGAUAACUUAAAGGACAGGCCGUUGUGUUUAUGACGUUGCAAGACAUAGAUGCCAGUUACCUGUGAGACUGGGCAGCAUAAUGGGGUAUUUUUAACAGAAUUGUUCUGGAAAGAACAACCGAAGAGGGUAAUAGUCCCGUACGUGAAAAAAAUACACCAGCUGUAGUUUAUGUUCUUAAGUAGGGCGGGACUCGUGAAAUUCCGUCUGAAUCUGGGCCGACUAUGGUCUAAGACUAAAAACUUUUAGUGAUCGAUAGUGGACAAGUACCACGAGGGAACGGUGAAAAGCAGCCUGUUGAAGGCGAUGAAAUAGUAUCUGAAACCGUACGCUUACAAAGAGCGGGAGUCCGUAGCUGUCGCAAGAUAGCUGGAUGACCGUGUUCCUAUUGAAGAAUGAGCCUGCGAGUAUGCUGUAUGUCGUCGCUUAAACCCUUCUGGGGUGGAGGCAUAGGGAAACCGAGUCUGAAAGGGCGCAUAUGAUGGCAUGCACAUAACCCGAAACCGGGUGAGCUAUCCAUGACCAGGAUGAACGUUGGCGAAAGCCAACGGGAGGUCCGAACUCACGAGCCGUGCAACACUCGGAGAUGAGUUGUGGAUAGGAGAGAAAUUCUAAUCGAACUCGGUGAUAGCUGGUUCUCCUCGAAAUAGUUUUAGGACUAGCCUCGAGAGUUCCUGUUGGUGGUAGAGCACUGGAUGAGAAUUGGGUCCUUCGGGAUACCGUUUUCAAUCAAACUCCGAAUACCGACAGCCAAAUCUCGGGAGUCAGACUGUGACGGCUAAGCGCCAUAGUCAAAAGGGAAACAGCCCAUGAUCGCUAGCUAAGGUCCCUAAAUCCAUGUUAAGUGUAAAAGGUGGUGUUAACUCUUAUACAACCAGGAGGUUGGCUUAGAAGCAGCCAUCCUUUAAAGAAAGCGUAACAGCUCACUGGUCAAGAGUUUUCGCGCCGAAAAUGUAUCGGGGCUCAAACAUGGUACCGAAGCUGCGAACUAUCGGAGGUCGGACUGCAGAAGUCAGAAAUCUGAAUAUUAAGGAGGAAAGUAUGUAUGAUGUACAAGAUAUAAAAGUCUAUCGGAAUGUGCUGGUUCUUUUAGAACCACUGCAACGAUUGGCAAGUCUUAUCCCUCGAAGCGAUUCACGUUUAAAAAUCCAACUACUCAACGCCGGAAGAUCCGUUCCCGCGCAGAUAGCUGAAGGUUUUGCUAAACGUCGAUCGCAAAAGGAAUACCGUCGGUUUCUGGAAAUGGCUAUCGGUUCGUCGGAUGAGACCAUAACUCACCUACGAAUUAUCCAGUUAGCACAUUUUUCUCAAAUCAAAACAGAGACCUGCGCGGCGUUGAUCAAGCAAUUUACGAUCAUCUCCAAGCAACUUAAUAAGUACAUUCAAGCAGUAUCCAAAAAUAUUCCAAGAUCUGAUAUCUGAAGUCUGACUUCCGGUAGUGGUAGAGGAGCGUUCUUAGCGCACAGAAGCCCUAGGCGUGAGCCGGGGUGGAGUGCUAAGAAGUGAGAAUGCAGGCAUAAGUAGCAAUAAGACAGGUGAGAAUCCUGUCCGCCGAAAAUCCAAGGUUUCCUGGGCAACGAGAAUCGACCCAGGGUUAGUCGAUCCUAAGGCCAGGCCGAAAGGCGUAACCGAUGGAAGAGCAGGUUAAUAUUCCUGCACUAUAUACAGUUUGGUGCCAAGUGCACAUCAUAAAGCUUUGCUCGUGUUCUGAAUAUGCACGUUUCGCAAGAUGAAGAUGAAACCUUCGGGUGGAGUCGACGCAAGGGGAUGUGGUGUCUAGAAAAGCUUGUCGCCGUUAAGCUGUAUAUAACCGUACCGUAAACCGACACAGGUGGGUGAGUCGAGGAGACUAAGGCGUAUGAGAGAACCCUCGUUUAGGAACUCUGCAAUACAACGGCCGUAACUUCGGGAUAAGGCCUGCCCAUCGCAAGAUGGGUUACAACAAAAGACGCACUGCGACUGUUUACCAAAAACACAGCUCCCUGCAAAAGCGCAAGCUGACGUAUAGGGAGUGAUGCCUGGCCAGUGUCAGAACGUUAAGGGGAGAGCUGCAAGGCUUGAACUGAAGCGCUGAUGAACGCCGGCGGUAACUAUAACCGUCCUAAGGUGUUCGCCUUCAUUUAAAAAUGGAAGUGAACAGGACUGGGACGGUAAUAGGAAAAGUUUAUGAAAACUUUAUAAAUAGUCGUGUAUAAUCGUAAAAAGCUGCUUCGCUCCAUCGUAAGAUAGAGCAGGUCCUCAAAAACACGCAGCCAUAUGCUGAGAAGUCCUUGAACCAUGAAGGGCGAUCAGCAGGAAAGGCCCUGACUAAGUUUAGUUAGGGAAUCCUCAGAGACUAAACGCUGUGCUCCUUAAAUAAUAAGGAUGAAGUUAUAGUCCAGGCUAAAAAAAGGAAAGCCUCAGCGAAAUUCCUUGUCGGGUGAACAAAUUCUUCUGGUCGGAGAAUACUUGCCCGAGUGCCGUGGCAACAUGGCACAAGCAUACUGACUCAUAACGGUGGAGUCCUGAAAAUGGAUAAUACCGUGGGAACACUUGUUUGAAUAACUUGUGACCCGUAACGACUGAGCCGAAAGGCGAGGUUUGACCAUAGCAAUAUGGCAUACAACACGUCAGCUCUUGUCACAACAAGAGUAUCCACGAACGAUGCGUCAUAUCUUACCGGUCUCACCGAUGGUGAAGGCAGUUUUCUGGUUAGUUUCCAGAAACGACCUACCAUGAGACUUGGUAUAGAAGUUCGACCCAGUUUUACCCUCAGUCAGCAUCAAAGAAACAAAGCGAUCCUUGAUUGGAUUGUCGAAUUUUUUGGAUGCGGAACUGUUCGCUUCAAUCGAAGCGAUGAGACCUAUAAAUAUGAAGUACGAAGUUUAACUGAUCUUCUUGAGGUAGUCAUUCCUCACUUUGAUCAGCAUCCACUUCGAACUUCCAAAGCAGCCGACUUUCAGAAAUGUAAGUCCAUCUGCCUACUUAUGGCUCAGGGUAAACAUCUAACAAAAGCCGGUAUGAGUGAAAUCAUUACCAGGGCUUAUGCGAUGAAUAACUGGGGAGCUCGACGAUAUGAUAAGCAAUCACUUCUACAGAUACUGACAAGAUGAAGGUAUAGUCUGAACAUUCUGGUAACAGAAUGAUAACACAAUGGAGUUCCGACCUGCACGAAUGGCAUAACGAUAGUGCGACUGUCUCAACGAGGGACUCAGUGAAAUUGCAAGGGAGGUGAAGAUGCCUCCUACCCGCAACUAGACGAAAAGACCCCGUGAAGCUUUACUACAAUUUGCUAUUGGUAUACGGUAAUUCAUGUUGAGCGUAGGUGGGAGCCUUCGGGCGCCAAUGAGACACCACCCUUGGAUUACUGUAUGCCUAAUUUUCCCCCGUGAAUCCGGGAGAGAAGACAGUGGCUGAUGGGUAGUUUAACUGGGGCGGUUGCCUCCCAAAAAGUAACGGAGGCGUUUACAAAGGUAGGCUUAGCUCGGAUGGAAAUCGAGCUGGACGCGCAAACGCACAAGCCUGCUUUACUGCAAGAGCUACAACUCGAGCAGUCGCGAAAGCGGAAGUUAGUGAACCGACCAUCCUUCAUAGGAAGGUGGAAGAUCAACGGAUAAAAGCUACUCCGGGGAUAACAGGCUGAUCUGGCCCGAUAGUCCACAUAGACGGCCAGGUUUGGCACCUCGAUGUCGGCUCAUCGCAUCCUGGGGGUGGAGAAGCUCCCAAGGGUUUGGCUGUUCGCCAAUUAAAGC
rfam:Candidatus Magasanikbacteria bacterium RIFCSPLOWO2_02_FTLL_44_11 rifcsplowo2_02_scaffold_7557, whole genome shotgun sequence.